UCAGCACGGCUGAGCUUUUUCUCAACCUGUUUCCUAUCAAGAAUAGAACCUGAUGAAAAUGACCUCCUCAAGAGAGAGACUCUCAAGCAGGGCUUCUUAAAGUUGGAAAUCCCCACAGAUCACCUGGGGGGCUUGUUAAAAUGCAGAUUCUGACUCUGUAGGUCUGGGGUAGGGCCUGAGAUUCUGCAUUUCCAACAAGCUCCAAGAUGCCCCUGCUGCUGGUCUAGGAACCACAGUUUGAGUAGCCAGGAUCUAAGUGUCUCUUGAUGUCAGACUCUUCAGCUAUGAUUACUGAACAAUAAUUGGGCUAAUGGUGUUGGGUUUAAGACCCAGCAUUUUCCACAAGCAUGUAUACUAUAUGUACCUCACUUUGGAAAGGAUGGUCAAACUCUGGACCCACAGGCAGAUAAUGGCCAACUGGAAAAUUUCUUUAUGCAUCUUCUCAGAGAUCUCUUCUGAUGGAUCUGAAAAAAGGAAGAUGAACUUUAGAAAUAUAUUGUCAAAAUAAAAUCAAUCCUCAAGAAAUUAUGAUCCGGAGUGCAUUAUCCCCUCCUUCGGGAAGAAUGGACAUCUUUACAAGAUUAAGUCUACCCAACGAGGAACAUGGGAAAAGCAAAGAUUGCCUCCAAUCUCAAAUGGCUCAAGCAGAACUGGGAUACCAGCUAUAUGAAGCCAAUGCUGUCAUAUGUUCCGUUUGGGAUAAGAUUCAUUGCUGAGGAAUUUGUCUUAUGGCGAAGCUUGGAAAUAGCAGCUGUUUAUAAUUAAACAGAUGGAGUAAGUUAAGAUGAGGUCAUACUGGAUUAGAAUGGCCCCUAAAGCCAAUGACUGGUGUUCUCAUAAGAAGGCCAUGUGAAGAAAUACAGACACGGGCAGAGGGAAGAUGGCAUGUGGAGACAGAGGCAAAGAAUGGAGUGAUGCAGCUACAAGCCAAGGAACACCAAGGAUUGCUGGCAAACCACCAGAAGCUAGGAGAGAGGUGAGAAAGGAUUCUGCCCUAGAGCUUCAGAGAGAGCAUAGCCUCGCUGACACCUUGGUUUCAGACUUCUGGCUUUCAGAACUGUAAGAGAACAAAUUUCUAUUGUUUUAAGCAACCCACUUUGUGGUACUUUUUUACACUUGUCCUCGGAAACUAAUACAUCAAGUAUCUAUUUCAUCUCACAGAUGUACAAAGUAGCGACUAAAGGAGAAAUCCAGUAACUAAGUUAAGAAAUUAUUAUUU
rnacentral:lncRNA from 1 species